UCUCCGUAGGUGAACCUGCGGAGGGAUCAUUACAGAGUUCAUGCCCUAACGGGUAGAUCUCCCACUCUAUGUUAUUAUUACUUUGUUGCUUUGGCGGGCCGUUAGGCUCCGGCCCGACUACCGGCCCCGGCUGGUAAGCGCCCGCCAGAGGACCCAAAACCCUGAAUAUUAGUGUCGUCUGAGUACUAUAUAAUAGUUAAAACUUUCAACAACGGAUCUCUUGGUUCUG
rnacentral:misc_RNA from 1 species